UACAGAGGUCCCGAGCGUUGUUCGGAUUCAUUGGGCGUAAAGGGUGCGUAGGCGGUGGGGCAAGUCUGAUGUGAAAUCCCGGGGCUCAACCCCGGAACUGCAUUGGAUACUGCCUUGCUAGAGUACUGGAGAGGGAACUGGAAUUUACGGUGUAGCAGUGAAAUGCGUAGAGAUCGUAAGGAAGGCCAGUGGCGAAGGCGAGUUCCUGGACAGUUACUGACGCUGAGGCACGAAGGCCAGGGGAGCAAACGGG
rnacentral:rRNA from 1 species